rnacentral:rRNA from 1 species
CUACGGGGUGCACCAGUGAGGAAUCUUCCACAAUGGGCGAAAGCCUGAUGGAGCGACACCGCGUGAAGGAUGACGGCCUAACGGUUGUAAACUUCUUUUCUGAGGGAGCACAAUGAGAGUACCUCAGGAAUAAGGGACGGCUAACUACGUGCCAGCAGCCGCGGUAAUACGUAGGUCCCAAGCGUUAUCCGGAAUUACUGGGCGUAAAGCGUAUGUAGGCGGAUAGAAAAGUUGAAUAUGAAAGACCGAGGCUCAACCUCGAGUUUGUGUUCAAAACUCUCUAUCUAGAGUGAGGGAGAGGUAAGCGGAAUUCCACAUGUAGGAGUGCAAUCCGUAGAUAUGUGGAGGAACACCAAAAGCGAAGGCAGCUUACUGGAACUUUACUGACGCUGAGAUACGAAAGCGUGGGUAGCGAAAAGGAUUAGAUACCCUCGUAGUC